rnacentral:rRNA from 1 species
UACGGAGGGGGCUAGCGUUGUUCGGAAUUACUGGGCGUAAAGCGCUCGUAGGCGGAUCAGCAAGUUAGGGGUGAAAUCCCGGGGCUCAACCCCGGAACUGCCUUUAAAACUGCUGGUCUGGAGGUCGAGAGAGGUGAGUGGAAUUCCGAGUGUAGAGGUGAAAUUCGUAGAUAUUCGGAGGAACACCAGUGGCGAAGGCGGCUCACUGGCUCGAUACUGACGCUGAGGUGCGAAAGCGUGGGGAGCAAACAGG